rnacentral:rRNA from 1 species
GAUGAACGCUGGCGGCGUGCCUAAUACAUGCAAGUCGAGCGAACAGACGAGGAGCUUGCUCCUCUGACGUUAGCGGCGGACGGGUGAGUAACACGUGGAUAACCUACCUAUAAGACUGGGAUAACUUCGGGAAACCGGAGCUAAUACCGGAUCAUAUAUUGAACCGCAUGGUUCAAUAGUGAAAGACGGUUUUGCUGUCACUUAUAGAUGGAUCCGCGCCGCAUUAGCUAGUUGGUAAGGUAACGGCUUACCAAGGCGACGAUGCGUAGCCGACCUGAGAGGGUGAUCGGCCACACUGGAACUGAGACACGGUCCAGACUCCUACGGGAGGCAGCAGUAGGGAAUCUUCGGCAAUGGGCGAAAGCCUGACGGAGCAACGCCGCGUGAGUGAUGAAGGUCUUCGGAUCGUAAAACUCUGUUAUUAGGGAAGAACAAAUGUGUAAGUAACUAUGCACGUCUUGACGGUACCUAAUCAGAAAGCCACGGCUAACUACGUG